GGCCGCCGUCAGCUCGUACCGUGAGGCGUCCGUUAAGUCAGGCAACGAGCGAGACCCACGCCAACAGUUGCCAGCUCGUCCUCCGGGAUGGUGGGGACACGUGUUGGGACCGCCUCUGCUAAAGAGGAGGAAGGAAUGGGCAACGGUAGGUCAGCAUGCCCCGAAUUAUCUGGGCUACACGCGGGCUACAAUGGGUGGGACAAUGGGUAUCGACACCGAAAGGUGAAGGCAAUACUCCUAAACCCAUCCGUAGUUCGGAUUGUGGGCUGCAACUCGCCCACAUGAAGCUGGAAUCUGUAGUAAUCGUGUCUCAAAAUGGCACGGUGAAUAUGUCCCUGCUCCUU
rnacentral:rRNA from 1 species